rnacentral:rRNA from 1 species
GACGAACGCUGGCGGCGUGCUUAACACAUGCAAGUCGAACGCUGAAGCUUGGUGCUUGCACUGGGUGGAUGAGUGGCGAACGGGUGAGUAAUACGUGAGUAACCUGCCCUUGACUCUGGGAUAAGCCUGGGAAACUGGGCCCAAUACUGGAUACGACAUGUCACCGCAUGGUGGUGUGUGGAAAGGGUUUUACUGGUUUUGGAUGGGCUCACGGCCUAUCAGCUUGUUGGUGGGGUAAUGGCUCACCAAGGCGACGACGGGUAGCCGGCCUGAGAGGGUGACCGGCCACACUGGGACUGAGACACGGCCCAGACUCCUACGGGAGGCAGCAGUGGGGAAUAUUGCACAAUGGGCGGAAGCCUGAUGCAGCGACGCCGCGUGAGGGAUGACGGCCUUCGGGUUGUAAACCUCUUUCAGCACGGAAGAAGCGAAAGUGACGGUACGUGCAGAAGAAGCGCCGGCUAACUACGUG